AAAGAAAAAGAAAAAAAAAUCCAUCGAGAGGAGAAAUAAAAAGAAAGAGGAGGAAAUAACAACAAAGGAAAUUUAGAUAGGAGAAAAAAUGGGAUAUUGGAAGGAAGAUGAGGAGGUGUUUAGGGUUAUUAUUACACCUCCGAAAACAGGACUAGUAGAACAACAACUGCAAGUACAGAAAUGGUAUGAGAAGAAGAAGAAGAGGAAAAAUAAUAAUGGUGACCAAACCCUAAUAAAACAACAACCCGAAUUUCUCGAAUUCGACCUCCUUCUAUACCCGACCUUAAAGCAAUUUUACUCUUACUACCCCUUCUAUCUUUCUCUCUCUCUCUCUCUCUCUAUCUAUCAUUAUCUUUUCUCUCUCUCGCUAGUUUCCUCUGUUGCCUUUGCCCCUUUUCUUUGUUAUCUUCUCUACUGUGUCGACUUUUCUGAAUAACCUUUCACUCGGGAAAUCUUAUUCAUUCUGGUGAUCGAGGAUUUUUACCGUUGCUGGUUUGGCCACAUUUAUCGGCUUCUCGUCCCUCACUUUUGGAAGGUAAUCCCACUAUGGAAGGUUUUGGUGUUCCAGGGUUCGACAAUGUAGCCCAGGCUGUGAGGAAGAAACGGAGUUCUGCUUCUCGGAGGCCUCGUCCUGAUUCUUCUACCCCACCUUCAGACAACGUCAGCAAGGUUUCAAGUGAUGAGAACAAUGGUUAUGAAGCAAAUUUCCGGAGGAAAGAAUUCAAUCUGAAUACACUUUCUGCUAGGGUCCCAUCUGCUAACAAAGCUGAAGGUGAAACCUCUUAUAAAAGGCUUAAGAAGGAUGGGGGGUCAUUUGGAGAAGUUGAUGGGUAUUACAAAAAUGGUAGCUAUAAAGGCAGCAGUGAGCAUGGGCGUAACAAAUUGGAUCUUAAACGCUGCAGUGAAGGUGUGCUAGCCCCGGCUAAUUGGAAAAGCACAGGUAAGGUUGAGGAACAUUCUCAAUCGCGAUCAGAUAAGCUGGAGAACGAUAUGGUAAAUGGAAAUAACGAUGAGAGACGGCCUUCUGAUGGAAUAGGAAAUGAGAACAAGCUUAGAAAGGUGAAGCUCAAAGUUGGGGGUGUCACUCGUACACUACAUGCUAAGUCUUCAGCUGAUGGUGCCUCUGGUGGUGAACCUUCCAUCAAGUUGUCUCGCUCUUUGGAGGCCCCUCGGCCACGUCCAAAGCUUAUUCUACAGGACAACUCAGAUGAUGAUGAAUCCCCUCCUUCCCCAAAGGGUAUAGGUUUGCAAGGAGUUCGAUGGAAGGAUUUUUCAUGUGAGGGUUUUGGUCAAGUAAAAGAGGAAUCUUCAAAGAAAAAGAUGGUUGAAGAGAGUGAGGGAGUUCGUAAAAGCAAGCGUCCCCCAAAACGCCGAGUAUUAGAUGGGGAAUUUGAUGAUGGAGAGGAAGAUGAGGAGAUUCGGUACCUAGAGAAACUCAGAAUGUCAAAGGCCUCGAUGGAUUCUGGUGCUGAUUGUGAUGACGAUGAGGAAAAAGGAAGCAAGAAGCAUAGAAAGAUAUCCAGGGUCUCUAAGAUUAGAAUGGUUAACGAAGAUUACAAGGAUGAUGUGGAGUAUGCUUCAUCUCGAUCUGGCAAGAAGAAAUCAAGAUCAGAUCGGGGAUCCGAUGAUGCAGAAUAUGUAGAAGAAUUGGUGUCUGAUGAGGACCCAGAUGUGAAGAGGAAGAAGCUAAAGAAGGACACUGAUGAUUUGGUGAUGGAAGGUAAGAAGGAAAUGACUCUCACGACCCGUCAACGUGCUCUUCAGUCGGGUAAAGACAUCUCAUCUGCAUCUGGCACAAGUCUUAUUGAAUUCCCAAAUGGGUUACCACCUGCCCCUCCAAGAAAGAAUAAGGAGAAGCUUUCUGAAGUUGAGCAGCAGCUGAAGAAAGCUGAGGCUGCUCAAAGGCGGAGAUUGCAAGUGGAGAAGGCUGCUAGAGAGUCCGAGGCAGAGGCAGUCAGGAAGAUACUAGGUCAGGAUUCUAGUAGGAAGAAGCGGGAAGAUAAGUUGAAGAAACGCCGUGAUGAAAUAGCACAAGAGAAGGCUGACAAUGCUAUAACGUUGCCACCCAACACCAUCAGAUGGACCAGUAAUCCUUCCGGGACUACUGUUACCUUUUCCCAAGAAAUAGGCCUGCCAAGUCUAUUCAGUUCAAAGCCUAUCAGUUAUCCUCCGCCGCGUGAGAAGUGUGCAGGUCCAUCAUGCACUAAUGCAUAUAGGUAUCGUGAUUCGAAGACAAAACUUCCCUUCUGCAGUCUUGAAUGCUACAGAGCUGUGCAGGAGCUGAUGCAGUAGAUGCAACUUCAUUGUAUAUAAAGGCCAAGUAGAUUAAAGAAGAAAAUAUGAUAUUUUCAGCAUGAUUCAUGGCGAUAUAAAGGUUUUUACUAAAUGGACGAUGCAUAGGAGCACAAGGAGCACAACUGGAUGAGGAGGUAGCAGAGGAAUAUGGAGCGGAAUACUUCGAAUGUAAAGCUUUCGCGAAGGCUGUGGAAUGGAUGGAGAAACUAAACUACAGUAAAGUAAUCUUUGAAGUAGAUUGUGAUAAUAUAGCUCGAUCUCUUAAUGAAAAAAGGAGCUGCAAGUUCACUGGUUUAAUCAAGGAAUUAUAUUGCAAAUCAGAACUAAAUUUAAAGAUAGGAAUUUUUGGUUUUGUAAGCCUGUACCCAGACUUAGUAAUAAUGUAGCUCAUCUUCUGGCUAAAAAGGCUAGAGAUAAUAAUUUGAAUUUCAUUAUGAGGAAACUUUACCACCUGACAUCUCUGAUGCAGUGGAAAAAGAUCGUUGUAAUCUUCAUAUUUAAAUCAAUAAACUUUCUUAGUAUCAAAAAAAAGAAGAA